rnacentral:rRNA from 1 species
CGUGUAGGCGGCCUGAUGUGUCAGAUGUGAAAGCCCUGGGCUUAACCCAGGAAGUGCAUUUGAAACUGUCAGGCUUGAGUAGGGGAGAGGGAAGUGGAAUUCCUGGUGUAGAGGUGAAAUUCGUAGAUAUCAGGAGGAACACCGGUGGCGAAGGCGACUUCCGGGCCCUAUACUGACGCUGAGACGCGAGAGCGUGGGUAGCAAACA